UGGGCGUAAGGGCUCGCAGGCGGUUUCUUAAGUCUGAUGUGAAAGCCCCCGGCUCAACCGGGGAGGGUCAUUGGAAACUGGGAAACUUGAGUGCAGAAGAGGAGAGUGGAAUUCCACGUGUAGCGGUGAAAUGCGUAGAGAUGUGGAGGAACACCAGUGGCGAAGGCGACUCUCUGGUCUGUAACUGACGCUGAGGAGCGAAAGCGUGGGGAGCGAACAGGAUUAGAUACCCUGGUAGUCCACGCCGUAAACGAUGAGUGCUAAGUGUUAGGGGGUUUCCGCCCCUUAGUGCUGCAGCUAACGCAUUAAGCACUCCGCCUGGGGAGUACGGUCGCAAGACUGAAACUCAAAGGAAUUGACGGGGGCCCGCACAAGCGGUGGAGCAUGUGGUUUAAUUCGAAGCAACGCGAAGAACCUUACCAGGUCUUGACAUCCUCUGACAACCCUAGAGAUAGGGCUUUCCCUUCGGCGACAGAGUGACAGGUGGUGCAUGGUUGUCGUCAGCUCGUGUCGUGAGAUGUUGGGUUAAGUCCAGCAACCAGCGCAACCCUUGAUCU
rnacentral:rRNA from 1 species